rnacentral:rRNA from 1 species
GUGAACGCUGGCGGUAGGCCUAACCCAUGCAAGUCGUACGGCAGCACAGUAAGAGCUUGCUCUUACGGGUGGCGAGUGGCGGACGGGUGAGGAAUACAUCGGAAUCUACUUUUUCGUGGGGGAUAACGUAGGGAAACUUACGCUAAUACCGCAUACGACCUACGGGUGAAAGCAGGGGAUCUUCGGACCUUGCGCGAUUGAAUGAGCCGAUGUCGGAUUAGCUAGUUGGCGGGGUAAAGGCCCACCAAGGCGACGAUCCGUAGCUGGUCUGAGAGGAUGAUCAGCCACACUGGAACUGAGACACGGUCCAGACUCCUACGGGAGGCAGCAGUGGGGAAUAUUGGACAAUGGGCGCAAGCCUGAUCCAGCCAUACCGCGUGGGUGAAGAAGGCCUUCGGGUUGUAAAGCCCUUUUGUUGGGAAAGAAAAGCAGCAGGUUAAUACCCCGCUGUUCUGACGGUACCCAAAGAAUAAGCACCGGCUAACUUCGUG